rnacentral:tRNA from 1 species
GCCUGGCUGGCUCAGUUGGUGGAGCAUGUGACUCUUGAUCUUGGGGUCAUGAGUUCAAGCCCCAUAUUGGGCC